CCACACGGUUUGCUAUUUGCGUCGUGGUUUUGUUCUUAUUAGAUUUGUUCACAUACUGCUGAAAAAGAGAGGAAAUGUGGUAGUCGAUUAUUUCUUCGGUCGCGUCGGGUUGUUCUUUUUCGGUACAAAAGAAAGACGAAUAGUGAGUCGAAAGUUGUUACAGGAAAAAGUUAACGGAUAAGAAGUUGUCAAAAGUAGAACUUUCUCCAGAAAAUAAAAAAAAAUCCAAGUAAAAAGGGAAAGGAACGAGCAUUGAACUGCUGGAGCGGGGCAAUUUGAGCUCAAGUUUUGUUGAUUGAUUAUAAAAAGUAAACGAACUCUGCGAGUCCUCCAUUUUGAUUAUUUUUUGUGUGCGACUUCAGAUAAGAGGAAAUUGGGUCAUUUUUGUUAGUAAGGUGUGUACGCGACGAUAUAAGAAGGGGACUUUUAUAAAAUAGUAAAAUACAAUGGGGAGGAAGCGAAGUAGGAGCAAGAGUAGGUCGCGUUCACCAGCGACAAGACACACCAACGCGAGUCGCCACAAGUCGAAAAAGAGUCGAAGCAGUAAAAGGGAACGGUCCAGGUCGAGGGACAGGUCAGAAAGGGAGCGAGAACGUUUGAGGGAACGAGAGAGGAAAAAUAGGAAGGAACAGUCAAGAAGGUCGCCGAGAUCGUCGUCAAGCAGCAGCAGUGAUAGUUCAGCCCCGUCGAGAAGUCGAAGUCGUAGCAAUCACCCGACGAAAGAGAUUGAAAGACUGGCCGAGCUAGAGAGACAAAGGCGACAAAAAGAGUUGGAAGCGCGACUCGUGGAAGAAGAGACGGCCAAACGGAUCGAAGAAAUGGUGGCGAAAAGGGUUGAAGAAGAACUGGAGCGUCGUCGCGAGGAAAUUGAGGAAGAAGUCUUGCGACGAGUGACGGCCGCCAAGGAAGCCCUCGAACAAGAGAUGAUGAAAGAGUUACAACUCCAGAAAGCUCAAGCGAUGGAGGAAGAACGGAAACGAGAGGUAGCUCACCAUUCUCUCAGUCAUUUCCUGCUUCUUAAAAAUACUCCCAAAUUGUUGUUAAUGGAAGAUGACGACGAGGAUCCAAGUCCUCCAAGUCAACAGCUCGGUUGUUGUGGGGUCGUCAAGCUCAUUUUUUGCUAUUACUACCACCACCACACCCACUCCUAUGUCAACCUUCCUCAGAUCUCGUCGUCAGCUCCAUCAGCGCCCACCGUAAACUGUAGUGACGAUGACGUGUUUGUUAAAAGGGGGGUUGUCGAGGAAGAUUUUGCUUUGCAGUAUCAUCCAAGAAUUUCCACACUAAUUUUUUUCCUCGCUCUCGCUCUGCUCCAUAAAAAAUUGCAAUUGCAGUAUUAGUAGAAUCAGAAAUUCAGUCAGAAUGAGGUUAAGAAUACGAAUCAAAUGACUAUAGUUGACGAUCACCAUUAAUUAAUUAAUUGUACAAACCUAGUAGAACCUAGUACCUAUGGGUCUGACUGUGAUAUUGAAUAUAUAUUUUUUAUUUCAACUUUCUCAGAGAUAAAAAUGAAAUAUAUGUUUCCCAAUUUUAAUACAAUCAAGUGAAAUCAAAUCAAUAUGAAUGGUCUGGAACAAUUAGACUGUAGAUUGCAUAUGGGUGGGUCACCCUCUUUCCCUCAGCAGUAGACGUUUAAUUCAAAUGGUCUUAAAUAAAAUGGGCUAAUGGCAUUCAUGGAAUGGAGCAGAGCUAACAUGGAAAUUAGUGGCUGGUUUAUGGGCAAAUUAUUAUACCUACUUGUUUUUUCCAUCCAUGGGUUAGGGUUAGGCCCAUCCAUCAGAAAUCUACCGUUUAUUUGCUAAAAGACCAGAGACUUACACUUUAUUUCUAGUAGCCGUGCUGUAUCAUCUGUCAUAUUAAUGCUCGGACUAGAUGUGCAAAGCUAUUGUAAAACUGUAGCUAACUGCUUUUGUAGUUGUGAUCGCAUCAUGCCAUCGACCUAUCAUCACGACUGACGUAGCCUUAUCUUAACUUACGUGUGUAAGACAAGAGCGAGACGGAGAGCAAUUCCAUAUAUAUAGACGCACGUUGUCGUUGCAUACCUUAAACCACUUUGUUCCAGUCCUUUUGAGAGAGAAAACUUUGUCAUGAUGUCAUGAAGCUUUCGUGACUGGUGAUUUGGUGAUGACGGAGCAGUCAAAAUCUUUCAUAAUGUAGUCAUUUCUCUCUCUGGAAGUCCAGUCAGCUAAGAAAUUGGUAAGUUUGACGAGUAGUUGUGCGUGACGCUUAUUGAUCUCGUACGAUCGAAAAAAAGAACAAACUACUUUACGGAAUGGACCACGCACGGCGUGACAGGUAGUUUUUAUGUACCUAUUAUCCAAAUCAUUUUUAAUUUCUUUUUAGCAAGAGGACUCCGACUCCCUCAUUGACAUCCUGCGGCCGACGGAAUCUCAAUUAUAAUUAUUAUUACUAUUAUUAUUUCCCUCACAAAAUUUCCUAAGAAUAACUCAACAAACUAUUAGAUUAACUAUAUGAUUCCAAUAAUAAUUGUAGAUUUUAGCUUAAAACCUAAACAAAACUGUCCCCACUCAGUACCUACUCCACACUUUGCUGCCUACUUGUUUAAUCUAAUGUAUUCAUGUAGGACCCCCGCAGUGAUAAGUAAAACUACUUUGCUAGUACUGGCCUCAGUGGGUUAAGAUUUCAUAAAAAGAGUGACAGGUCCAUUAAAUUUAAAGUUAUAUUAAUUAUGUUGUUCUUCUACACUAUAUGCCGUGACAUAUUUGCUAUGUACUCCUGCUUUCAUCCGAGGUUUGAAACAUGUCUAAUACUUUCUCUUCCCUUUGUGUAGGAGGAAGAGCGAAAGAAACGCGAGGAACUUGAGAGGAUAAUGGAGGAAAACAAUAAGAAAAUCGAAGAAGCGCACAGAAAAUUGGCUGAAGAACGCUUAGCCAUGGUGGAAGAACAGCGACGAUUUGACGAGGAGAGGCAGAGAAUGGAGAGGGACAUGGAAAAGUCAGUGAAAUCCGAACAAAUCAAAAUCCUUGGCAAGAAAAAUUCACGUCCUCGACUCUCAUUUGCUCUCAAACCUCCCUCGUCAUAGUUGUUAGAAUUAAAAUAAAUCAGGUUUUUAUUGUGUUACUAGUUCAGAAGAUACAUGUAUAGACGAGUUAGCAUUUUUUUAAACAUAAUUAUUAGUUUGCGCUUAAGAUAAUUUUCUUUUUUUCUGUUCGGGAGAUGAAUUUACCACAAGUACUGAUAACAAUAUUCAUGAACUGAAUAUUCACGAGAUAUGCAUUUACUACUACAUUAUAAUUAUAUGGCUAUAAUGAUACGUUCAAAAUAUUGUUUACCAUCUAAUCUGCAUGUAUAAUUAAUACGUAAGCCUCCCGGUUCACACUUUACUGUUUUCACGUACAGAAUUAAAGCUAUGAAAUAAAACAUGCACAUGCUACGAUUACAAUAUAAA